AACGCACAUUGCGCCCAUAGGUAUUCCUUUGGGCAUGUCUGUUUGAGCGUCAUUACAACCCUCAGCGCAAGCUGGUUAUGAGUUGGCUGAACACUUCUGUUUACAGAGGUCGAAGUCCGGCUUUAAAGUUGUAUGCUCUGCUGGCUGCUUUGCCUGACAAAACAUAGUAAAUCUUACAUUGUUUACAGAAUGGCUUUGCGAGUCCGGCCUGAAUAAAAUCAACCCUUUCUUAGGUUUGACCUCAGAUCAGACAAGGAUACCCGCUGAACUUAA
rnacentral:misc_RNA from 1 species